UACGAAGGGGGCUAGCGUUGUUCGGAAUUACUGGGCGUAAAGGGCGCGUAGGCGGUGUGUCAAGUCAGGCGUGAAAGCCCCGGGCUCAACCUGGGAACCGCGCUUGAGACUGGCACGCUCGAGUUCGGGAGAGGAUGGUGGAAUUCCCAGUGUAGAGGUGAAAUUCGUAGAUAUUGGGAAGAACACCGAUGGCGAAGGCAGCCCCCUGGGAUGUGACUGACGCUCAUGUACGAAAGCGUGGGGAGCAAACAGG
rnacentral:rRNA from 1 species